UACGAAGGGGGCUAGCGUUGCUCGGAAUUACUGGGCGUAAAGCGCACGUAGGCGGGUCAUUAAGUCGGGGGUGAAAUCCUGGAGCUCAACUCCAGAACUGCCUCCGAAACUGAUGACCUUGAGUUCGGGAGAGGUGAGUGGAACUGCGAGUGUAGAGGUGAAAUUCGUAGAUAUUCGCAAGAACACCAGUGGCGAAGGCGGCUCACUGGCCCGAUACUGACGCUGAGGUGCGAAAGCGUGGGGAGCAAACAGG
rnacentral:rRNA from 1 species